rnacentral:rRNA from 1 species
UACGGAGGGUGCUAGCGUUGUUCGGAAUUACUGGGCGUAAAGCGCACGUAGGCGGCUUUGUAAGUUAGAGGUGAAAGCCUGGAGCUCAACUCUAGAAUUGCCUUUAAGACUGCAUAGCUUGAAUCCAGGAGAGGUGAGUGGAAUGCCGAGUGUAGAGGUGAAAUUCGUAGAUAUUCGGCAGAACACCAGUGGCGAAGGCGGCUCACUGGGCUGGUAUUGACGCUGAGGUGCGAAAGCGUGGGGAGCAAACAGG